UACGGGGGGGGCAAGCGUUGUUCGGAAUUACUGGGCGUAAAGGGUUCGUAGGUGGCUUGCUCAGUCAGACGUGAAAUCCCUCAGCUUAACUGGGGAACUGCGUCUGAUACUAGCGAGCUUGAGUGCAGGAGAGGAACGCGGAAUUCCAGGUGUAGCGGUGAAAUGCGUAGAUAUCUGGAGGAACACCGGUGGCGAAGGCGGCGUUCUGGACUGCAACUGACACUGAGGAACGAAAGCCAGGGGAGCGAACGGG
rnacentral:rRNA from 1 species